rnacentral:rRNA from 1 species
AGCGAACGCUGGCGGCAGGCUUAACACAUGCAAGUCGAACGGUCCUUCGGGAUAGUGGCGGACGGGUGAGUAACACGUGGGAACGUACCCUUAGGUUCGGAGCAACACAGGGAAACUUGUGCUAAUACCGGAUAAGCCCUUCGGGGCAAAGAUUUAUCGCCUUUGGAGCGGCCCGCGUCUGAUUAGCUUGUUGGUGAGGUAAUGGCUCCCCAAGGCUACGAUCAGUAGCUGGUCUGAGAGGAUGGCCAGCCACACUGGGACUGAGACACAGCCCAGACUCGUACGGGAGGCAGCAGUGGGUAAUUUUGCGCAAGGGGCGAAAGCCUGACGCAGCGAUGCCGCGUGGAUGGUGAAGGUCUUAGGAUUGUAAAAUCCUUUCACCGGGGACGAUAAUGACGGUACCCGGAGAAGAAGCCCCGGCUAACUUCGUGCCAGCAGCCGCAGUAA